rnacentral:rRNA from 1 species
AGCGAACGCUGGCGGCAGGCCUAACACAUGCAAGUCGAACGAACCUUUCGGGGUUAGUGGCGGACGGGUGAGUAACCCGUGGGAACGUGCCUUUAGGUUCGGAAUAACUCAGGGAAACUUGUGCUAAUACCGAAUGUGCCCUUCGGUGGAAAGAUUUAUCGCCUUUAGAGCGGCCCGCGUCUGAUUAGCUAGUUGGUUGAGGUAAUGGCGUACCAAGGCGACGAUCAGUAGCUGGUCUGAGAGGAUGAUCAGCCACAUUGGGACUGAGACACAGCCCAAACUCCUACGGGAGGCAGCAGUGGGGAAUCUUGCGCAAUGGGCGAAAGCCUGACGCAGCCAUGCCGCGUGAAUGAUGAAGGUCUUAGGAUUGUAAAAUUCUUUCACCGGGGACGAUAAUGACGGUACCCGGAGAAGAAGCCCCGGCUAACUUCGUG